UACGUAGGGGGCAAGCGUUGUCCGGAUUUAUUGGGCGUAAAGAGCGUGUAGGCGGCCAUGCAGGUCUGCUGUGAAAACUCGAGGCUUAACCUCGAGCUGUCGGCGGAAACCAUCUGGCUAGAGUCCGGAAGAGGAGAAUGGAAUUCCCGGUGUAGCGGUGAAAUGCGCAGAUAUCGGGAAGAACACCCGUGGCGAAGGCGGUUCUCUGGGACGGUACUGACGCUGAGACGCGAAAGCGUGGGGAGCGAACAGG
rnacentral:rRNA from 1 species